rnacentral:rRNA from 1 species
GAUGAACGCUGGCGGCGUGCCUAAUACAUGCAAGUCGAGCGAAAAGACGAGGAGCUUGCUCUUCUGACGUUAGCGGCGGACGGGUGAGUCACACGUGGCUAACCUACCUAUAAGACUGGGAUAAAUUCGGGAAACCGGAGCUAAUACCGGGUAAUAUAUUGAACCGCAUGGUUCAAUAGUGAUAGACGGGUUUGCUGUCACUUAUAGAUGGAUCCGCGCCGCAUUAGCUAGUUGGUUAGGUAACGGCUUACCAAGGCGACGAUGCGUAGCCGAGCUGAGAGGGUGAUCGGCCACACUGGGACUGAGACACGGUCCAGACUCCGACGGGAGGCAGCAGUAGGGAAUCUUCCGCGAUGGGCGAAAGCCUGACGGAGCAACGCCGCGUGAGUGAUGAAGGUCUUCGGAUCGUAAAACUCUGUUAGUAGGGAAGAACAAAUGUGUAAGUAACUAUGCACUUCUUGACGGUACCUAAUCAGAAAGCCACGGCUAACUACGUG